UACGUAGGGGGCAAGUGUUAUCCGGAUUUACUGGGUGUAAAGGGAGCGUAGACGGCAGGGCAAGUCUGGAGUGAAAGGCAGGGGCCCAACCCCUGGACUGCUCUGGAAACUGUCCGGCUGGAGUGCAGGAGAGGUAAGUGGAAUUCCUAGUGUAGCGGUGAAAUGCGUAGAUAUUAGGAGGAACACCAGUGGCGAAGGCGGCUUACUGGACUGUAACUGACGUUGAGGCUCGAAAGCGUGGGGAGCAAACAGG
rnacentral:rRNA from 1 species